CCUUAGUCUAAGAAGAAGUUGUGCCGUGGCCACAAUGGUUUGGACUCCACUCAUCUUCAUGGUUCUGUCUUACUGGACAGGUUCCUUUUCUCAGUCUGUAUUGACACAGCCACCCUCCAUUUCUCAGUCUCUUAGAUCAACAGCCACACUCACCUGUACCCUAAAGAGUGGCAUUAGUGUUGGUGGUAAAAACAUUUACUGGUACCAGCAGAUGGAGGGGAGCUCUCCCAGGCUUUUCCUGUACUACUACUCAGAUUCUGACAAGAAACUGGGGCCUGGAGUCACCAAUAGAGUCUCUGGAUCCAAAGAUACCUCCAAGAAUGCUGCAAAUUUACACAUCUCUGAGCUACAGGCAGAGGAUGAGGCUGUGUAUUAUUGCUCCAUCUGGGAAAGUGAUGUUUGGGUGUUCGGCGGAGGCACCAAAUUGACCGUCCUAGGUCAGCCCACAUCUCACCCUUCAGUCACCUUGUUUCCACCUUCUCCUGAGGAGCUCAAGACCAGCAAGGCCACACUGGUGUGUAUGAUCAGUGACUUUUACCCUGGUGAUUUGGCAGUGACCUGGAAAGCAGAUGGUACAACUAUCACCCAGGGUGUGGAGACAAGUAAGCCUUCCAAACAGGGCAACAAGUACUUGGCUACCAGCUUCUUGACUUUGACAGAAGAUGCAUGGAAAUCUAAAAACGAAGUCAUCUGUGAGGUCACUCAUGAAAGUACAAAAGUGGAGAAGAGUUUGUCCCCUGCAAUGUGUUCCUAAGCCUUCCAAUAUUCAUCUUACCCAUAGAAACUGGGAUUAGAAUAAUGAACAAAUACUGCUCUUGCCUAUCAUAGCCCUUCUCCCUGCUCCUGAAAUGCAAAAUAAAAUAUCUGUUCUCAACCUGUAA